rnacentral:rRNA from 1 species
UACGGGGGGGGGCAAGCGUUGUUCGGAAUUACUGGGCGUAAAGAGCUCGUAGGUGGUUUUGUCGCGUUUGUUCGUGAAAACUCACAGCUUAACUGUGGGCGUGCGGGCGAUACGGGCAGACUUGAGUACUGCAGGGGAGACUGGAAUUCCUGGUGUAGCGGUGGAAUGCGCAGAUAUCAGGAGGAACACCGGUGGCGAAGGCGGGUCUCUGGGCAGUAACUGACGCUGAGGAGCGAAAGCGUGGGGAGCGAACAGG